AGAUUGCAGCUGCAACUCGCCUGCAUGAAGUCGGAAUUGCUAGUAAUCGCAGAUCAGCAUGCUGCGGUGAAUACGUUCCCGGGCCUUGUACACACCGCCCGUCACACCAUGGGAGUCGGUAACACCCGAAGUCGGUAGCCUAACCGUAAGGAGGGCGCCGCCGAAGGUGGGAUUGAUGACUGGGGUGAAGUCGUAACAAGGUAUC
rnacentral:rRNA from 1 species